UGGAGCUAGCAAGAGGAAGUAACUGGUUCCACUGCACAGUCUAGGCAGUGAUGCAGAGAAUUUGCAGGGAAGCUUAGGACAUCUCUCAGCUAAUGGGACCCAUACAUGAAAUAUUGCCCAGAAAUGGCUCCAAAGAAUUUUCAGCAUCAAUCAACAAGAUAGAUGAAGAGAAAGAGAGAAGCAGCACAACUUGCCCACAUAUGAAGUCAAGAGAUGGAGGAGUUUGUGGUUGCAUGCUGCACUGCUUGGUGGAUACGUGCCUGGCCUGGCUAUAG
rnacentral:lncRNA from 1 species